UGGGCGUAAAGAGCUCGUAGGUGGUUUGUCGCGUUGUUCGUGAAAUCUCACGGCUUAACUGUGAGCGUGCGGGCGAUACGGGCAGACUUGAGUACUGCAGGGGAGACUGGAAUUCCUGGUGUAGCGGUGGAAUGCGCAGAUAUCAGGAGGAACACCGGUGGCGAAGGCGGGUCUCUGGGCAGUAACUGACGCUGAGGAGCGAAAGCGUGGGGAGCGAACAGGAUUAGAUACCCUGGUAGUCCACGCCGUAAACGGUGGGUACUAGGUGUGGGUUUCCUUCCUUGGGAUCCGUGCCGUAGCUAACGCAUUAAGUACCCCGCCUGGGGAGUACGGCCGCAAGGCUAAAACUCAAAGAAAUUGAUCGGGGGCCCGCACAAGCGGCGGAGCAUGUGGAUUAAUUCGAUGCAACGCGAAGAACCUUACCUGGGUUUGACAUGCACAGGACGCCGGCAGAGAUGUCGGUUCCCUUGUGGCCUGUGUGCAGGUGGUGCAUGGCUGUCGUCAGCUCGUGUCGUGAGAUGUUGGGUUAAGUCCCGCAACGAGCGCAACCCUUGUCUCAUGUUGCCAGCGGGUAAUGCCGGGGACUCGUGAGAGACUGCCGGGGUCAACUCGGAGGAAGGUGGGGAUGACGUCAAGUCAUCAUGCCCCUUAUGUCCAGGGCUUCACACAUGCUACAAUGGCCGGUACAAAGGGCUGCGAUGCCGCGAGGUUAAGCGAAUCCUUUUAAAGCCGGUCUCAGUUCGGAUCGGGGUCUGCAACUCGACCCCGUGAAGUCGGAGUCGCUAGUAAU
rnacentral:rRNA from 1 species